rnacentral:rRNA from 1 species
CACGUAGGGCGCAAGCGUUGUCCGGAAUUAUUGGGCGUAAAGAGCUCGUAGGCGGUCUGUUACGUCUGCUGUGAAAACCCGGGGCUUAACCCUGGGCUUGCAGUGGAUACGGGCAGACUAGAGGCAGGUAGGGGAGAAUGGAAUUCCCGGUGUAGCGGUGAAAUGCGCAGAUAUCGGGAGGAACACCGGUGGCGAAGGCGGCCAUCUGGACGGUGACUGACGCUGAGACGCGAAAGCGUGGGGAGCAAACAGG